rnacentral:lncRNA from 1 species
GCCAACACAUGUUCAUCAGUUCAAUAUGUGUACUCCAUUACAACUCAUAAUAAAGAUGCACAAGCAUGAUUCAACCGAAGCCAACAACUUCAAUCCUAAAGUCAAAAAAGAGGUAAUUCAAGUCAUGCCAAUACCAAUAUCACUGAGUUCAUAUCAAGGACAAACAUAUUCAAAAACCAAAGCAAAUCAUGGCAUAACUCAAUCUCAUCAAUGCAUGUUUAAGCAUUCAAACACAUAAAGAUCAUCCAAGCCUAAUACCAAGUAUACAUCUAAACACAUUUUCAUACAUACAUCCAUAACGCUGAGUCAUGUCUCAAUUU